CAGUUGAUGCCGAACAAUCGAUCACAAAAGACUUAGCAAAAAAAAGGGAUCAGAAUGAAAUUUAUCGCAGUAGCAAUCGUCCUCUUGGCAAUAAUUGGAUCAGUUCUGUGUGAACCUCAAAUAAGUCAGAAUUCAGACUCCAGGAAUUCAAUUAAUGGACCCGCCGGUUAUGAUGGAGGAUGGUCCCCCUAUAUGUAUGGCGGAGGCGCAGGUCCAGCACCCAUGAGACGAUACGUACCUGUGAAUAGGUACGCCAAUCCAUGUCAAUAUUGAGAUAAAUUAAAUGUCCCGAAUUUCUGAAUAAAGAAUUCCGAAGCAUA